rnacentral:rRNA from 1 species
UACGAAGGGGGCUAGCGUUGCUCGGAAUCACUGGGCGUAAAGGGGUGCGUAGGCGGGUCUUUAAGUCAGGGGUGAAAUCCUGGAGCUCAACUCCAGAACUGCCUUUGAUACUGAAGAUCUUGAGUUCGGGAGAGGUGAGUGGAACUGCGAGUGUAGAGGUGAAAUUCGUAGAUAUUCGCAAGAACACCAGUGGCGAAGGCGGCUCACUGGCCCGAUACUGACGCUGAUGCACGAAAGCGUGGGAGCAAACAGG